AUGAGCUGUUUGCAUUAGUUUAUCAAGCAAGCACAGCAGUGGACAUAGAUUAAUAGAUUGUGAUGCAGAAAAAAAAAGGAAAGUAGGUUAUUCUCUGUAGGGGAGUGGGUCUCUUCCCAGUGACCCCACCACUGCCUCUGGAAACAUUCUCUGCCAGAGCUGGAAAAGAUUCUCCUGCGUCCUUGCUUCGGAUUAGCCAAGCCUGAAGUUUGGAUCCUUCCCCUGGCUACCAGCCUUGCCUGCAGCUAAAAUGACUGGCAUAAUUCACUUUCUGGCUGCAAGGAGCUGGGAAGUGGACUAUGAAGAAUCUCUCAUCUGCUGCUCGCUCAGCCUGUUUUCAGCAAUAUUAUCAGUCCUACACACCACAUCCAUUAUUUCAUGUGGCUUCUACCCUUUUACUCUGCUGCACAAAAAUAGGGAAAUCUCCUUUUUGUCCUUCAAACCUACCACAUGGUUUGGCUGCUUUUACCUGGUAUACAUUUGAAUCAGGCCCAACUACAAUUGUGGGAGGUGAUAUCUGUUGA
rnacentral:lncRNA from 1 species